AUGAGUACAUUCUUUUGGAACCAGCAGCACGUCACUGUGAUCAAUCCACGCAAGGAGCACGGCGGUGGUGCUGGCCUCCUACCUCCGUCCCGCCCGUCGCUCACGUCCCUGGCGCACACCCUCCGCCUCGUCGACGCCCCGCUGCGCUGGAUCGUCGUCGAGCCUGGCCACCGCACCGACGCCGUCGCCGCCGUGCUCGCCCGCUCCGGCCUCGACUUCAUCCACCUCGUCGCCUCCGACGGCGCCUCCACCGCGCGCCUUCGAAUGCACGCCCUCAGGUACUAUCACCGUGCUCUGCUCGCCGCACUAGAUCUCACUGAGCGCCCCUGGCCAAGGGAAUUGAUCCCCGCAUCCACUUCCCGCUCACGAUUUGGAUCUGUUGACCGAUUUCAGGGAGAUAUGAAGGAGAAGAUGGAUGACGUCGUGGUGUUCGCCGACGAGAACGGCAUCCUCCGGACGGAGCUGUUCGACCUCGACUACGAGUACGACGCGCCGCGCUGGUUCGACCUCGCGCAGGACGAGGCGCCCGCCGAGGCCGCCGCCGCCGAGCUCUGGUUCGCCACCGCCCCCAGCUACCCGCCCUCCCGACUGCGUAUCCUUCAGGACAACUCAAGCCCCUCCUCUCCUGUACAUGAAUGUGAGAUGCUGCGCAUGCAAGAUCUGAGCCAAAUGGCAUAA
rnacentral:rRNA from 1 species